GCAGCCCCCUUUCGCUUGGCAGAGCCUUUACAGCGACACUUUUAAAACAAAGACAAUUGCACCCGGUAAUAACAGGUAUACAAUACUGAGCAAGUACAAAAGGAAACCAAUCAAGAUUAUACGAUAUUUGUACAAUACUCCCAAACAAGAAAACAGAACCUACAUGCUAACGUACAUAGCACCCAAAGUACUGUUCGACACGUUGAAGAGGUCAAAAUUAUUGUUCACAUAAGGUAUAUACAUAUUCGUAUAGCGCUACCAAUCCCUGCAAAAUAUAGAAUGCAGAUUUUCAUUACACACACGCACGCACGCACGUGCACAGCACACACACCAAAAGAAAACGGCAACGCGCUCACAGGAAGCGCCUGAAAAACGAAAAAAAAGGAAAAGUGUGGGGAACCGAGGUCGUCUUGGGCUGUCGCCUCUCCCUCUCCCAGAAGGAAUGGAGAGGUUCUUGGAAAGCAGGGACGGGCGAUUCUCUCUGUCAGCAUCAGCUCCCACCAGCGAGGACGGGGCGAGAAAGCGAAACGGGACUUUCCUUGCUGUCUAUUUUUUCUUCGUCAGGCCAACGCCGCUUGCUUGCAGGGGCGCAGGCGAGUUCCCGCCAAAUGGCGCGGGUGCGUGAGUUGCCGCCAAAUGCUAGCUCUGGAUGCCAGCUCGUUCCGCGUCUCAUGGUAGACUAGUUGGUGCAUUUCUGUUAUCAUGGACGGCGCAUAUAAACGCAAGCUACACAAAAGUGACUUGGACAAGAACAGCGCAAGCCCUUUACAUGCAGUGGAGCCGCCGUAUCUCGCCGUUCAAGAUAUGCGUACUCGAAGAAAAAAAAAAGAGGCUUUACAUGAGAACGGAUCAAGCGUUCGAGAGUUGGGACAGGGAAAUGUGAGACGUACUUUCAUGUAUAUAUUUCUAAUAUUAUUUUUUCGUCUUGUAUUCUCGUUAAUUUUUCUCUAGGAAACACUGGAACGACACUGCUUAAAUUGAAGCACAGUGUGCGAAUGACCUGCUACGCUCGGAACUGUUAUCACCAUUCGGGAAGAAAUUGGGUAAGAAUGGAUUGUGUGUGGCGCGCUUCACCGCAUGUGGACUAGAGUAGAUCUAGGAACAUCAGACAAGAAGACACGUAUGUGAAACCCUGCGGAUAGCCCAUAUACCACGAUAACCACGUAUUUGGAUGUCUGGUUUAACUCUACGUGCGCUGGUUCGUGCAGGUGAACUUUUUUUCCAGAUACGGAGGAACGGACACCGGUCGUGUCGUGAGCACUAUUCUGCAGGGCAUACUUACAAAUGAAGCUGCACUGCAGUUCAGCUGGAAAGGGUCGCAGGGGAGGAAGCACGCCUUCGUGAAGCUCAUGGCCAUCACGAAUAUAACAUCUGUGAGGAGCACGUUCCCUGACGCUUCACUAUAGCAUCAGUGGCUGGAGUCGCAAAACGCUGGUUGGUUGGAGCAGCUGACAGGGAUGGAGGCCGGAAUGAAAGAAGGCGCCGUGACCCUGCUUCAAGCCCACCAAAUAUGAACUAGUGUUUGAAACUUGUGAACGUGUCGGUGUACAUAUACAAUUACAAGAAAUAAAGACCUGUAUCAGAA